GAUUACGCCCAUACCACCCUGAAUGUGCCUGAUCUCAUCUGAUCUCAGAAGCUAAGCAGAGUCAGGCUUGGUUAGUUCUUGUCUGGAAGAAUGAGGAGGAAAUUU
rnacentral:rRNA from 1 species